rnacentral:rRNA from 1 species
ACGAACGCUGGCGGCGUGCUUAACACAUGCAAGUCGAACGGAAAGGCCUCUUUCGGGGGGUACUCGAGUGGCGAACGGGUGAGUAACACGUGAGUAGCCUGCCCUUGACUUUGGGAUAACUUCAGGAAACUGGGGCUAAUACCGGAUAGGAGCUCCUGCUGCAUGGUGGGGGUUGGAAAGUUUCGGCGGUUGGGGAUGGACUCGCGGCUUAUCAGCUUGUUGGUGGGGUAGUGGCUUACCAAGGCUUUGACGGGUAGCCGGCCUGAGAGGGUGACCGGCCACAUUGGGACUGAGAUACGGCCCAGACUCCUACGGGAGGCAGCAGUGGGGAAUAUUGCACAAUGGGUGGAAGCCUGAUGCAGCAACGCCGUGUGCGGGAUGACGGCCUUCGGGUUGUAAACCGCUUUCGCUCAUGACGAAGCUUUGUGUGACGGUAGUGGGUAAAGAAGCACCGGCUAACUACGUG